GCCCCGGUAGCUCAGCCUGGUAGAGCAAUAGCCUUGUAAGCUGUGGGCCGCGAGUUCAAACCUCGCCCGGGGCU
rnacentral:tRNA from 1 species